UUGAUUUGUUGAUAUUGUGGCAGAUUAGUCAGAUCCUCCCUGUAGUGACGUCAUGUUAUUGGUAGCCUAUCUUCCCGCAGGGAGGUGUGUAUAAAUGGCUGUUUGGUGCGGGCCGGAUGUGCGUCAUCUGUUCUGUGCCUGCGCUCUUCCUGUUUACCGGCAUUCAACAGAGGUCUGUGGUUAAAACACAGCCGUUUGGGCAUUUUAACACCGCUUGUGUCAUUUUGUGGGGCUUUGCGUACACUGGAGAGUCUAUUGUAAACAACCGUUACGUGCGGUCUGGCUCGUUACACUGCCUAGUCCCAGCAUUCCCGUGUGUUUACCGUUUGAGUGGGGACAUCCAAUAUAUGCUGUUUGGCAUCUACUUCAUUUCUAUCCCGUGGAUACUGACGUCAGCUCUGCUUUCUGGUGUGGCAAACGGCUGCGUUAUUUGGUAUGUGUGUUUAUAUUUCCGAUUGCUGUUCAUAAACUAUAACUAGUUUACUAAUCGUCUUCUUAUCUGUUAGGGGCUAAGACUGUGCGUGCUGCAUUUCCCUACUACAUAUAGAAGCACGCUGCUGUUUUGUUCCUGCUGGAUUUGCUUUCGUUUCUUUUCUGUAUAUUUUUGUUGUGUGUUUUCAUCAUUUUGUCCUGGGUGAUUUAGCGCGGCCCGAUUUUGGAGUUGUUGGUUAAAACCUGCUCCUACUGUGACUGUAUUUUAAAGAUCUUUUCCUCGUACGUUGGGAAAUAACGAGUUCAAGGGCCGCGCUCAUUCAGAUAUUAUUUCUUCAUUUUCCCUUUGUGGUGUUUCUCAUUUUGGACUGGUUCAGAAUGCUGAGAUUUUCUCUUGGACAUUGUUGUCUUUAAAUUUAUUUUCCUUUUCCUUUUGUGGUAUUAUCUAGCUGUUUAAGCUAGAAUUUAUUUCUUUUCUUUAUGUUGGAAGGGUUUCUUUUGCUCCCCUGCAUUUAAUAAGUUUUUAUUGAUUAAUUUCUAUUGAUUUGAUUUAUUCUGUUUUGUAUUACAAUUACAGGAGCUGUGUGUCCGACGGCAGUGAGGCUUUCCUUCACCGUGUGCUGUGUUAUGCUGUGUGAGCACCACUGAUAAAAUCACGGGUAUUGGAGUGAGUGUGUGUGUGUGCACUUAUGUGUGUGUGUGCACUUAGUGUGAUUCUCCUCUUUUUGCUCCCUCUCUUAGCCCAUUUGAUGCCAAUAGGCUACAGCUCC
ensembl:lncRNA